ACACUUGAUGCCAGGACCCUGUGAUCAUGACCUGAGCCAAAGGGCUCCAUCCUGAGGGACCAGUCUGCAUUUUCGGAUCUUUUCAGUGGUUUCAAGCUUACCACCAUGUUUAUCACCCCUUGAACAUAUUCAGAAAAUCAGAGGUGGUCUAAGGCACUGGGAGACAAUGGACUAGUGGGAAGCUCUCCUGGCACCAAUGGCUAAUGCUGACAGGGAGACUGCACUCUGGGCAGUGGAGACAGACUGCAACGGGACACACCUUCCUUGCCAGAUGAUACUUUAAACAUCUGACUCCACUUCUAGGACUUUUCAAAUAGUUAAGAAGAUGGAAGACAAGCAGGAGGCAGAAAAGAUCCAAGAAGAUUACUGAUAUCCUCACAUCUGGCAGAAGCUGUAACUACUCCUGAGGGAGAACGCACAGAAUGUCUUGCCUUGAAAUUACAACAGGGAAAACCAGGAAUGGAUGGUUCAUGCCAACUUCCUUCGUUUUGUUCCUUCCUCUGAAUACAAGAUGCAUAUUAUCUUUUCCAAGUUCUUUUCUAUGUACUGCAUGCUCUAUUUAGUGAGCCCAUAAGGAAGGGUUAGAAAGAAAUGGGGUAACUUGUUUCCCCAGUAGCUCUCAUUUCCCAAGCUACCUCAGAAGUCAGUGGAAAAAGUCACAUAUUAUAUAUGUGACUAUAUAUAAUUAAUAAUUAAAAUCAACUUUACACAAUUUCUGCCUAAUUUCUCAUAUUGCUUGUACCCAAACGGAAACGCUCACCAUAAUU